rfam:Gossypium raimondii chromosome 12, whole genome shotgun sequence.
AUUCCAUGAUGAGGGCAUUUUUGUAACAAUUCUUUAAAUAUUUCCCACGCCUCAUACAAGGACUCGCCAUCCACCUGUUGGAUGGUAGUGAUCUCAAUCCACAACUU